rnacentral:antisense_RNA from 1 species
CUAGUAAUAGCAAGAGAAAAGUCAAGAAGAUUAUCAGAAUUCCUUUUAUUUCACUAAAAAGAUUUUCAAACCUAACAUGUAAUUUUAAUUCAUCACUUAAACCAACUUGACAUCAAUCCCUCAAACUUGAAAUCUGUUCUGUCCUCAAUAUCAUUUCAAAAUAAGCAUUAAAAUAAAAUAGAGAAUUCCAAUUUAGUAUCCUCAAUAAGCCUUAUAGAUGCUAAAAAUAGUUUAAAUUAAUUAAGUUAACUCAAAAUAUUUAUUUCUUUAAUAGUUUUAAUGGUUCAUCAGAAAUUUGAGCGAAGAUUUCUGUUUUCAACUGCUAUUUAACAGAUUCAAUAGGGGAAUCUUUGUUUCAUCAUAUUAAACCAUUAAUGACAUUAUAAACUUACAUUUUAAUUUAAACCUUGAAAAAAAAUAAGAGAAUAUUUACUUCUGAUUCAUUUUGUCCCAAAUAAAUUUUUAGUACUCCGUGAAAUACCAAUUAAGACAAAAAUCCAGAAUGGCGCCAAUUGUCAUGGAUGUGGCGCCAGAACAUGCAAUUUGAAGAAACCAUUCAGAGAAUGUUUUGAAGCAACAUCAAGAAUGGCAAUAUAGAAAAGAAGCAAGAAAUCCGUAUGGGAAAUACAAGUCAUACACCGAAAGAAAAUAGUAAAAACACGGUUUAAGUCAUGAAAUCUUUAAUGACAUUGCAAUUGUAUGCUAUCUAAAAAAAUAUAUAUGUAGGUAACAAGUUCAAAGUAAUGUUGCAAAGCUAAUAAUAUUCAAACUCAAAAUUGAAAAUAGAUACUGGAAAACUUUAUAUCAAUUUAGCAAUUUAUAAUAUGUAACCAUGUGUGUUCCUAAUGGAUAGUAGCAUUGUAAGUAUCAACACUUGCAAUAAUAAUCUAAACGUUAUUCCAUAUAAAUAAAAACCAAAAGUGUCAAUUCUACAUAAGAGCUACAAGUGCAAUAUUUAUGAGCAGCAUCCGCCUUGUCUAAUUGGCUGAGCUCCUGCUAACUUGGGACCUUGUUGCGCAGAGCCCCUUGUAUUCUGACUAUUCACUUGAACUCUCUUCUUGAUCUCACCAGCCAUUGUAUGGAAUGCUUGCUCAACAUUAUAAGCGUUUUUAGCAGAAGUUUCUAUAAAUUUUAUUCCAUGAGAAUCUGCAAGUUCUCUUCCCUCGUCUGAUGUUACCACUCUCUUGCUCACAAGAUCGCACUUAUUACCUACUAACAAUUUAUUAACAUUCUCCAUUGCGUAUCUAUCAAUCUCUUGGAUCCAUUGUUUAACAUUAUCAAAAGAAUCUCUAUCUGUAACAUCAUAGACAAUAAUGAUUCCAUGUGCCCCUCUAUAAUAACUAGAAGUAAUUGUUCUAAACCUUUCUUGUCCUGCAGUAUCCCAAAUCUGUAACUUUACUGUCUUAUUCUCCAAACUUAUUGUUCUUAUCUUGAAAUCAACCCCAAUUGUUGAAAUAUAACUGUCAGUAUAGGUGUCAUCAGCAAAUCGUAAGAGUAAGCAUGAUUUACCUACACCACUAUCUCCUAUUAAAAGUAGUUUGAAUAAGUAGUCGUACUCAGGAUUCAUCUGAACCUAUUAUCCUG